UCUAAGGUGGCAGAUGAAUGCAUAAGAUUUAAGCUCUUAUAAUGGAAAUUAUGUAUUUCCCCAUAGAA
rnacentral:tRNA from 1 species